GUCAUAGAUCACGUGGGUCUAAUUAUUUUGGUUACCUUUUUCAACAAACAUUGAAUGAGUGUCUAUUAUGUGUAAGGCACCAGGUAGUCAAAUGUGAAAAAAAAAAAAAUGAAAUGGUAAACCAUUGUGUAAAUUAACCUAUAGACCUAAUAGAACUUAACCUAUAGAACUACUUUACAUAUAAACACAUAGUGUAAUAAGACCAAUCAAGAAAAACAAUAGGAGUUUCCAUCAUGGCUCAGCAGUAAGGAACCCAACUAGUAUCCAUGAGGACGUGGGUUCAAUGUCUGGCCUGGCUCCGUGGGUUAAGGAUCUGGUGUUGCUGUGAGCUGUGGUGUAGGUCACAGAUGUGCCAUGCUCCGGGCCCCAUGUUGCUAUGGCUAUGAUGCAGGCUGGCAGCUGCAGCUCUGAUUCAACCCCUAGCCUGGGAACUUCCAUAUUUGGAGAGUGCAGCCCUAAACCGACAGAAAGACAGACAGACAGAAAGAAGGAGAGAGAGAGAAAGAGGAAGGGAGGAAGGAAGGAAGGAAGAAAGAAAAGAAGGAAGAAAAACGACAAUAUGCUCAGAGUGAGGACUGUUGAGGCUUUUUAUACUUUUGUAUUUAGGGCUUUAGGGAAAACUUUGGAGAAAUAACAUGUGAACUAAGAAAUAAAAGAUAUAAAAGAUACCAAUUGAAGGAUUGGGAAGUAUGAGAGAGCUCUGCCCUGCCAAAUCCACCCUCCUCUUUUUCAGUUUGUACAUCAAGAGAUCAAUCCAUCGGGACUGCAUUAAUGGGCUCCCUUAUCCUCUGGCUUCUUAUCUGGUUUGGCCAAUGGGAGGUAGGAUAAUAGAGGAUGGGAGAGAAUGAGUUUAGGUACUUUUUCCCCCAGUUUUCUCCCUGUUGUGCUAUAGUUGGUGACUGUGUGCCUCUAUCAGAAACUGCAUAGCUCCUGUCAGCUACCCCACUCCAAGCAACUACCCUUUCUAGUUCUGGUACCCAUUCCCCCCCAUUGCCCCUUUAGUCCUGGGAAUAGUAAACAGCCUUCCACUCCUACUAGCCCUCCCGAACUUCAGUUGGUGCAAUAGAAGAACAGACAUUGGGAGAACAAAUGGGCUAUGCUGAUAACCUUGACAACAAUAACGAUGAUAAUAAAUGAACAUGAGAUCAGCUGGAUCCUUCAGAUGACCACAUAAAAAUUACCUAGGGAAAAAUUCUGAUUCUGAAUCAGAGCUGAAAGUCACAAAGCCCUAAUAAUAGCUCAGAAGGGUCUCUCAUCUUCCAUAGUCACUGGGGACCUAUUGGGGAAAACUAAGCCCAGAGCCUGGUUGUAAGUGCUGCGGUGUGGCAGUGGAGACAGGGCUCAGCUGUCAUGUGCUAAAAUCAGGGUACUAGUUGGGAAGGAGGAGAAACUCUGAGUGAAAUCUGUGAUGGUAGAAAAUGCCCAGUGAAAGCCCACGAAACUCCCUAACUUCCUCCCCAUCGGUGAAGAAAAGUAAACCGAAAGCAAUUUUGCAUUCCCUCGGUUAUUAUGGAGAUUAGUAAAACCAUCAAAAAAGCCUUUAUAUAUUCCUAUAAUAUCCCAAUUUCUUAUAGCUGGGUGUCUAGUUCACAAACCAAAUGGGUCGUGGAAAAUGAAAGUCGAUUAUCACAGACUUAAUCAGGUGGAGAUACCAAUCACGGUGCAUUUCUGGAUGUGGUAUCUUUAAUGGAGCAAAUCAACCCAGACCCCGGCAGCUAGCAUGCAGCAAUUGACCUGACUGACCUGGCUUCCCCCCACCCCCAUACCUUCCAACAAAGAUAAUCAGAAGCAGUUUGCCUUCACAGGUACGACAGUAUAACUUCAUGGUCUUGUCCCAGGGUUGUGUCAGCUCUCCUGAGCUGUCGUGAUAUAGCCCUGCAUUCCCUUGAUCAUCUUGCCAUCCCACAGAACGUGACGUUGGUUCAUUACAUUUGUGACUUUAUGCUAACUACAUCUAAUGAACACAAAGUGGCAAGCACUUUGGAUGCUGUAGUAAGAUAAAUGCAUGCCGGAAGGUAGGAAAUGAGGACAAUGGCAAUUCAGAAGUGCCUCCUAUUCAGAGGGUCCAAUGGUCUGAGAACUGUCAGGAUAUCUGCUCUAUCAUGGAAAGCAAGUGGCUGCAGGUUGUGACCAUCAUGAAGAAAGAAGCACAACUCUUGCUGAGCUUCCUUGUGUUUGGGAAGAAACAGAAAUCUUAUUUGGUAACUUAUGAGGCUUCUCGGGUUUUUCUGUGUCCAAGCUGCCCUUUUCAUUUGCAUUACACCUUUCUGGGCACAGUGGCCCUGAAAGUGUCUGUAGCAGACAGAGACAUCCUAUGAAGCUUUCCACAAGUCCGAUAGGUAAAUUGCAGCUCAGCCCACUAAGAUAUGGGAAGGAGCUAUGCCCUUAUGCUAACUACAGUUCUUUUGUGAAGAAGUUCUUGACUGGCUACUGAAUCCUGGUGUUGCUUGAAAUUUUGUCCAAGGGACCCUAGUGAUUUGUAAUCUAUAAACUAGAUGUUAUCUGAUUCCUCAAACCAUCAACUUAGAUGUGCACUGCCGCCUUGCAUUGUACAAAAAAACAUGAUAUACUCAACUUGGUGCCCAAAUAGAUUUGGAAGGCACAAGUCAUCUGCAUUGGCUGGUGGCUUAGAUGUCCAAGGUACUUGCUUCCUUAGCUUCCCAAUUUUCCCAUGACCCACAUGUGAAACGGCACAGGAUUUCUCUAUGACCAGUCAAAGGGGAAGAAAAAGCAAAAUGAAGGUUUAUAGGUAGAUCUGGUUAGCGUGCUAACUUAUGCCAGAAGUUGAUAGUUACUUAAAUAUAACCCAACUCAGGGGUAGCCUUGAAAGACAGCCACGAUGGUAAACAUUUUCUGUGGGCAGAAAUUGAGGUAGUACAGCUGUGUGUCCACUUUGCAUGGAAGGAAAGAUUGCCUUAAGUGCAGAUACACCCCGGUUCAUGAGCCAACAGGCUGUCUACACAGUUGGGGACAUGAAAGGAAUAAGUUGUUAGAGUGGUGGUUUAUGAGAGCAGUUCCGAUAGAUCUUCUUUUGGAAAGAAGAGUGUGAAAAUAUUUUUUCCCACAGGAACCAAUCUACUGUGGAGAAUGCUUUCAAUAACCAGAUGGACAAGUCAGUAUUUCCUUAUCAGUACGUUUCUUUCUGCAGCUCCCCCCCCCCCCCCAGUGCUUGCUCAAGUGACCUAAGUAGAGUGUUUCUGGGGUGGGAUUGAAGGCUAUUCCUGUGCUCAAUAACAUGAAUUUCUGCUCAUAAAGACUGAUCUUGUUACCACAUGCCAAGUGGCCAACCUGCCACAUGCAGGUCCAUGCGACACCAAUCCUCAGCAGACUGGCCUGCUUCCUGGUGGAAGUUGAUGGCAGUAAGAUUUUCUAUCAUGGAAAAGAGAGUGACUUGUCCUCACAGACAUAGGCCUGUAUUUCAGAUACAGAAACCCCUUUCCUGUCCACAGCACUUUUGCCAAUAUUGUCCUUCCAGAUACCUUACCUGUAGCCAUGGCAUUCUACACGACGUAACGUUACAGUGGGUGACAGUUAUUACCACCAAAGAUGUAUGCCAAUGGGUGUAUGCCCACAUAAUCCACCAGCUUUACCGUGUCUCCCUAUCAGAAAGCAGAUGGACAAACAGAAUGAUGUGCUGCCAGCCUACGCCACAGCCACAGCAUUGCCAGAUCUGAGCCUCAUCUUCGACCUACACCAUAGCUCAUGGCAAUGCCAAAUCCUUUAACUCACUGAGCAAGACCAGGGACAGAAGCAGUGUCCUCAUGGAUAAUAGGUUCAUUUCCAAUGAGCUACAAUGGGAACUCCAUGAAGCAUAAUCUUAAACCAGCAGCCAGUAUUUAGUGCCACUCUCCUACAGCCAGAAUCAAGCUGUAGAGGUGAAAAUGGUCCCUCUCAGUAUUCUAGCGAUAAAAUACCAAAGGAAUUUUUCUUUUCCUGGAAAUGCAGUUGGCGAAUGUUGGUGUAUGGUAGAGGAAGGCUGGUGUCCAAUAGUGACACUGUGUAUCAACCAAGAGUCGUAAUUUUAGUCUUGUUACGUUAAAAACUGAAACUGCCCUCUAAAAUUUCAACCCCCCAUGCCAGGCAACAAACAGACAAAAAGGUAUCACAACAUAGUCCAUGAUGACCGAUCACAAUUAAAAGUUGAAAUUGAGGUGCUGCUGCCCAAUGGGUAGAAACUGACUAGAGCCGGAUAAUUCACUAGGGCAUCUACAUAUUCCCUGUGCUCAAUAACUCUGAACUGGGGAAAACUAUGGCAAUGCAAUAAAUACGGAAUCACCAAGGACUCAGAUCUUAACAGAUAUGGACGUUUGGGUCACCUCAUCCGGUUAAGAAACCUCUCCUGGUGAGAUGGAUAAUAAUGGGAACACAGAAUGGGUUAUAGCAAAAGCCAGGUAUCAUGAUCAGCUUAAGCCUCCUGUCCAGCUAUAGAAGUAGAGCACAUGGUAUCUAUGUUUUAUGUUAGUUGAUUGCUUCUCUUACGGCUCUUUCCUUUCUCCUCACCACCACUCCCUCUUGCCAUUACCUUAUAUGAAGAGCCUGGUGGUAGCUAAAGAUUACUUGGCAGGUAGGAUUUUGCCUGAGUUGACCCACUCUAUGACAAGACACCUGUUCAGAGAGAAUACAUUGGGUGUCCCCUGUGAAAGAGAUUACAAAUACUUCACCUGGAGAAAUAAGGAGAGGAUGCUGAGAGGAAAAAGUGCUUGGCUGUGUGAAGUAACCUCCAUCUGGCAUCUGUGUUCUUGCUUUACCAUUCUGCCUGAGCAGGAUGAAUCACAUAAGCUCCUUUUUUUCUGGUUUCCAUUUAGGUUCCAAAUGAACAGGAUUUCGGGGCAAAGAGGAGGCAAAAAUCGGGAUUUUUCUUUUCUCUGCUUACUCCUUAUUGUACGGCUUCUUUUCAGGGCCCACAUGUGGAGUAUUCCGGAGUUCCUGUUGUAGCUCAGGGAGUUAAGAAACUGACACAGUGUCCGCGAGGAUGUGGGUUCCAUCCCUGGACUCAUUCAGUGGGUUAAGGAUCUGACAUUGCUGCAAGGUGUAGCAUAGGUUGCAGAUGCAGCUCAGAUCUGGUGUUGGGGUGACUGUGGUGUAGGCCUCAGCUGCAGCUCCGAUUCGACCCCUAGGCCAGGAACUCCCAUUUGCUGCAUGUGUAGCUG
rnacentral:lncRNA from 1 species